rnacentral:rRNA from 1 species
AUGUGGUUUAAUUCGAUGAUACGCGAGGAACCUUACCUGGCUUAAAUGUAGAGUGCUAUUUUUAGAGAUAGAAAUUCCUUCGGGCUUUCUGCAAGGUGCUGCAUGGUUGUCGUCAGCUCGUGCCGUGAGGUGUCGGGUUAAGUCCCAUAACGAGCGCAACCCUUAUCGUUAGUUGCCAUCUGGUAAUGCAGGGGACUCUAGCGAAACUGCCACCGUAAGGUGAGAGGAAGGUGGGGAUGACGUCAAAUCAGCACGGCCCUUAUGUCCAGGGCUACACACGUGUUACAAUGGUCGGUACAGAGGGCAGCUACCUGGUGACAGGAUGCUAAUCUCGAAAACCGGUCUCAGUUCGGAUCGAAGUCUGCAACUCGACUCCAUGAAGCCGGAAUCGCUAGUAAUCGCGGAUCAGCAUGCCGCGGUGAAUACGUUCCCGGGCCUU